rfam:Ictidomys tridecemlineatus contig016415, whole genome shotgun sequence.
UGGGGUGUAGCUCAGUGGUUGAGCAGGUGUUUAGUAUAGACAAGAUCCUGGGUACAACCCCCAGUACCAUAG